rnacentral:rRNA from 1 species
GAUGAACGUUGGCGGUGUGCCUAAUACAUGCAAGUCGAACGGUGACGAUUUUGUAGUAAUACGAAUGAAAUCACAGUGGCGAACGGGUGAGUAACGCGUUGGUGAUCUGCCUCGAAGUGUGGAAUAACGCUCCGAAAGGAGCGCUAAUACCGCAUGUGCUCUCGAUGUUUAGAAAGUUGAGAGUAAAGGAUUUAUUCGCUUCGAGAGGAGCCUGCGUCCCAUCAGCUGGUUGGUAGGGUAACGGCCUACCAAGGCAAUGACGGGUAGGGGACCUGAGAGGGUGGCCCCCCACAAUGGAACUGAAACACGGUCCAUACACCUACGGGUGGCAGCAGUAGGGAAUAUUAGAAAUGGACGAAAGUCUGAUCUAGCGACACCGCGUGUGCGAAGAAGGCCUUCGGGUUGUAAAGCACUUUUGGAAGGAAUAGGAAGGAAGGUACCUCCAGAAUAAGUCUCGGCUAACUACGUGCCAGCAGCCGCGGUAAUACGUAACGUG